rnacentral:tRNA from 1 species
GGUGGCUCAGUGGUAGAGCAUUUGCCUUGCAAGUAUGAGGCCCUGAAUUCAAUUCCUCAGCACCA